GCACAGCCUGCAGCCGGCCUCCCUCCCCACUGGGCCUGGGCUUAGUCCCUGGUUUCCGCUGACAGCCUGUAGGGCCCACUCUCUCUAGGCUUCCUGGCCCACCUGGGAAGUGGGAGGCUGGCCUGGGAGAUGCGACCUGUGACUCAGAACCCGAGGCUGUGUACAGCCCCUGUGGCUGGAGGUGGUCACGGAGGCUGUGAGCGGGACCGCCUGUCCUUCGGGUUCUGUGAGACACUGCGCCUACUGGGCCGCUGCCAGCUGCCCACCGUCCGCACCCAGUGCUGCCGCUCGUGCUCUCCGCCCAGCCACGGCGCCCCCUCCCGAGGCCAUCAGCGGG
rnacentral:lncRNA from 1 species